AUAACGAUUACAAUUUUAUCUGAACGUUUUACAAUGGCGUAUAGUCUGCUUAGACAUGGCCGCAUCAUUGACUUGCUACGGAAAGUAGAAAAAGUCAAAAUAUUUUCCCAUAUGAAAUUUGUUGGUAGAAGAAGAUUCGAGUUUUAUAAAUUCUGAUUGUCUACGCCUCGGUCAACAAAUGUUUUUUAACACGUGGCUGUACAACAAUUGGUUGCAUAAAUCAAUUCUGCCCAGAAGUUUGUGCCCGCGGUAGCAAGCCCCCACUCCUCUUGCGACUACGCCUCUGGUUCACAGAAACAUAUGGUCAAGCAACGUGCGGCUAAAGCUUAGUAACAUUACUGGAGCAGGGAUGAACUGCUUGGAAAAAGGGUUGCACCGCAAAAACAUCGGCUAACUAUUGCAUUAAUAAGUCCGUCAAAUUUUAACGGCGGACUAACUGGGAAGUUUUUGGAACGGCAAAUGGACCUAGGGACCAUCCCUUCAACGGAUGGAGGAAGGUGGAUGGAUCUCUGUGGAAAUACCCUAUUAAGUUUCCGUAAGCACUGUACUACCGCCAUUAUCAAUAUCGCAGACUAUAUACGUGUAGCAAUGGAUAAUUGUAAAAUAACUUUUUUAACCCUACUAGAUUUAAGCAAAGCGUUUGAUUCAGUUUAUUACAGAAUUCUUAAAAUGAAACUGCAGCGAAUAUAUUGAAAUUUUCAAACAAUUUUUAAACAAUUGUGACGCUCAGGAGCGCACAGAAUAAACAUAAUAUAUAAGAAUAAACAAAUAAUAAACAUAAGCAGUAGUUACAGAUUAAGAUAGUAGUAAAAUGCAAGAAGCAAGAAGUUAAGUAGGCAAGAAGCCGAAAUAAAUAUAAGUUAAAACGGAAAUAUUCAAAUUUAAAUAUCCGGGCGGGCGCGCCAAACAAAAGAAACGGUCACACUGACCAACGGCCACCACAAGCCACACGCGUUAUGGCACUGGCUAUAGGAUUAGGAAACUACAGUCACACUAAUUGUGACUGGCAAGGGCCGGAAGGGAUAUAAAAAGGGCGCCGGUGGCCCAUACAGAUUCACUCUGCGGCCGACGGCGAGCGGAGAAGGACGCCCGCCGCCACCGCCGCCGGCCGCGACGACGACGCCGAACGACGACGCAGAAGUCCCCGGCAUCCUACGGGCGGACGAGCACGAACUCUAUCUAUCGUAUGUACACGAGAAUUCUUAAUAAACGCAUACCGAUUCGAUUUCACUGAACCCCGCUUACGUGUCAUACUCUGGGAACCGGGUCGAACUCUUCCAGCAACCACU